ensembl:snRNA U6 U6 spliceosomal RNA
GUGCUCACUUCGGCAGCACAUAUACUAAAAUUGGAACGAUACAGAGAAGAUUAGCAUGGCCCCUGCACAAGGAUGACAUGCAAAUUCGUGAAGCAUUCCAUAUUUAA